rnacentral:rRNA from 1 species
CCUACGGGUGGCUGCAGUGAGGAAUAUUGGUCAAUGGUCGUAAGGCUGAACCAGCCAAGUAGCGUGCAGGAUGACGGUCCUAUGGAUUGUAAACUUCUUUUGUCCGGGCGUAAAGGGCGCCACGUGUGACGUUUUGUGAGUACCUGAUGAAAAAGCAUCGGCUAAUUCCGUGCCAGCAGCCGCGGUAAUACGGAGGGUGCGAGCGUUAUCCGGAUUUAUUGGGUUUAAGGGGUGCGCAGGCGGAAUGUCAAGUCAGCGGUAAAAUUACGGGGCUCAACCCCGUCGUGCCGUUGAAACUGGCUUGCUUGAGUGAGCGGGAAGUAUGAGGAAUGCGUGGUGUAGCGGUGAAAUGCUUAGAUAUCACGCAGAACUCCGAUUGCGAAGGCAGCAUACGGGAGCUCUACUGACGCUCAUGCACGAAAGCGUGGGUAUCGAACAGGAUUAGAAACCCGUGUAGUC